rnacentral:rRNA from 1 species
GAUGAACGCUGGCGGCGUGCCUAAUACAUGCAAGUCGAGCGAACAGACGAGGAGCUUGCUCCUCUGACGUUAGCGGCGGACGGGUGAGUAACACGUGGAUAACCUACCUAUAAGACUGGGAUAACUUCGGGAAACCGGAGCUAAUACCGGAUAAUAUAUUGAACCGCAUGGUUCAAUAGUGAAAGACGGUUUUGCUGUCACUUAUAGAUGGAUCCGCGCUGCAUUAGCUAGUUGGUAAGGUAACGGCUUACCAAGGCGACGAUGCGUAGCCGACCUGAGAGGGUGAUCGGCCACACUGGAACUGAGACACGGUCCAGACUCCUACGGGAGGCAGCAGUAGGGAAUCUUCCGCAAUGGGCGAAAGCCUGACGGAGCAACGCCGCGUGAGUGAUGAAGGUCUUCGGAUCGUAAAACUCUGUUAUUAGGGAAGAACAAAUGUGUAAGUAACUAUGCACAUCUUGACGGUACCUAAUCAGAAAGCCACGGCUAACUACGUG